CUACGGAGGGUCCAAGCGUUAUCCGGAUUCAUUGGGUUUAAAGGGUCCGCAGGCGGGAAAAUAAGUCAGUGGUGAAAGCCUACAGCUCAACUGUAGAACUGCCAUUGAUACUGUUUUUCUUGAGUAUAGAUGAAGUGGGCGGAAUAUAUCAUGUAGCGGUGAAAUGCAUAGAUAUGAUAUAGAACACCGAUUGCGAAGGCAGCUCACUAAACUAUUACUGACGCUCAGGGACGAAAGCGUGGGGAGCGAACAGGAGUAGAUACCCUUGUAGUCC
rnacentral:rRNA from 1 species